UACGUAGGGUGCAAGCGUUAAUCGGAAUUACUGGGCGUAAAGCGUGCGCAGGCGGUUCUAUAAGACAGAUGUGAAAUCCCCGGGCUCAACCUGGGAACUGCAUUUGUGACUGUAGAGCUGGAGUGCGGCAGAGGGGGAUGGAAAUUCCGGCGUGUAGCAGUGAAAUGCGUAGAUAUGCGGAGGAACACCGAUGGCGAAGGACAAUCCCCUGGCCGCACUGGCUCAUGCACGAAGCGUGGGAGCA
rnacentral:rRNA from 1 species